GCUUAAAAAACGCAUCGGCUAUUUUCUGUUUGCCAGCAAUUCGAAAUGAGUUAAAAUGUGUGCAAAAUAUGAAAUGCCAUAAAUGGCAUAUGUGCCGUGUUCCAUGGGAAAGUGUUGAGUGCAGUGCGUCUGAGGGAUCGAAAGAGGUCCAUGUGUUAAAGAUGUGUUUGCCAAAAAUAAAAAACGGAAAGUCAAGGGGGUGAUGGGUAAUACCAAAAUUGAAUUGGAUAAAAAAAUCGUUGGAUUCAAUGAGCACUCACACAGCAAAUAAAUUGUCCUGCCAUCCGAUUGCCACCCCAGGAUAUGGUAUAUUACACAACUCUCGAGGACCGUUCUCCAUUUUGGGCACAUUAGAAAUUCAGAACGCGUUGAGCACAUUAUCACUUCCCAUUGGACCGAGAUGACUUCAUUUUCAUGCCAUGUGACUUGGGAUGUCAGUGCUGUACUUGUGGUUCCACCCGCUCCCUCUUAAGUUGCUGCCAUGAUUUACUACAAGCAGAUGAUUUAAUAUAACCGCAUAUAUGGAUGUAGACACACGCACACACCCGGCCAGAGUGCACUUCAGAUGCAUUCGACUGCAUUGGAAACUGGAACCCGUUGAACAGGCCCAGAAACAGAAACGGAGGCAGACACCCCACACAUGUUGCCAGUGAAGCGGCCGUUUUGGAGGAAAAACGGGAAGACAGUUCAAGUUCCUCCAUCUUGAAAACUGACGCCC